AGAAUGGCUGAGUAAGCAUUAGACUGUAAAUCUAAAGACAGAGGAAUAGCCCCUCUUUUUACCA
rnacentral:tRNA from 1 species